rnacentral:rRNA from 1 species
CGGACGGGUGAGUAACGCGUGGGUAACCUGCCUUGCACUGGGGGAUAACACUUAGAAAUAGGUGCUAAUACCGCAUAAGCGCACGGUCCUGCAUUGGGACAGUGUGAAAAACUCCGGUGGUGCAAGAUGGACCCGCGUCUGAUUAGCUGGUUGGCGGGGUAAAGGCCCACCAAGGCGACGAUCAGUAGCCGGCCUGAGAGGGUGGACGGCCACAUUGGGACUGAGACACGGCCCAGACUCCUACGGAAGGCAGCAG